UUGAACGAUCUGGUAAGUCGGAAUCUUUUACCACUGCCUGAUCUUAGAACAGCAAAACCAAGUGACCCAUCAAGCCCUCAAGUUAAGGCUUCAUCUAAUUCAGUCUAUGCAUGCUCAACUCUGCAGUCACGUAGAGAGCCGAAGCGAUUCAAGCGACGCAAACGCCCUCAAAACCAAGAUGCAACCCGGCAGCAGCGCGCUCCAGAGUGCAAUACACAUAAACAAAGCAAGUCUCCCAAGGAGCAAAAGGCAGCUAAACAGCAGAACCAUCCAUCAGGAGACCUCAGUUUAAAUGGGUAUGGAUCAAGUGUGUAUGGACCAUAUGGCACGCGGGGUACCUCUCUAAAGCGGCCACGUGGUAACUAGGUAAUCGUCAGGUGAAUGAGCUCAGUAGAUGUCGCUUCUCUGCAGUCUAACGUCCAAUGAUAGUCGAAACUUUGACGCUCGGUUAUACUCGAGAUGUCUAGACACGGUUCAGAGAAUGGAACUCAGCUGCUUCUGGAGAUGAAACAAGCAUCUUCCAAAUCCAUCCAUUAUAGUUUGCUUUCAGCUACAGAUGUAAGUAUAAUACACCAGGCUCGAUUCUCGCCUGCCCGAGUACUCGAUACAAUCAGGUUCUUUCAGGAAUAUCGUUCUCGGUUUCAGCUCAUUAGAGUAUGAUAUCAUUAUCAAUGAGAGGAUAUGCUUGCUUCAAGUUACAAUUGAGCUCCAAUUUUGAUAUGUAAUAUGAAAUUUUACGUUAGAAAACGAUAUCGAGACUUCUUUCUCUUAUUGCUA